UCCCUCUUAGCUCAGUUGGUAGAGCGCGUCACUAGUAGUUUCGCUUCAUAGCGAGUUCAACAAAUGACGAGGUCAGUCGUUCAAAUCGGCUAGCGGGAA